rnacentral:rRNA from 1 species
GUGGGGAAUAUUGCACAAUGGGGGAAACCCUGAUGCAGCGACGCCGCGUGAGUGAAGAAGUUAUUCGUAACGUAAAGCUCUAUCAGCAGGGAAGAAAAUGACGGUACCUGACUAAGAAGCCCCGGCUAACUACGUGCCAGCAGCCGCGGUAAUACGUAGGGGGCAAGCGUUAUCCGGAUUUACUGGGUGUAAAGGGAGCGUAGACGGCACAGCAAGUCUGAUGUGAAAGCCCGGGGCCCAACCCCGGAACUGCAUUGGAAACUGCUGGGCUUGAGUGCAGGAGAGGUAAGCGGAAUUCCUAGUGUAGCGGUGAAAUGCGUAGAUAUUAGGAGGAACACCAGUGGCGAAGGCGGCUUACUGGACUGUAACUGACGUUGAGGCUCGAAAGCGUGGGGAGCAAACAGGAUUAGAAACCCUAGUAGUCC